GGGGGCUUAGCUCAGUGGGGGGGGGGCCUGCUUUGCCCGCAGGAGGUCAGCGGUUCGAUCCCGCUAGUCUCCACCA
rnacentral:tRNA from 1 species